UACGGGGGGGGCAAGCGUUGUUCGGAAUUACUGGGCGUAAAGGGCGCGUAGGCGGCCUUCUAAGUCGGACGUGAAAUCCCUCGGCUCAACCGAGGAACUGCGUCUGAUACUGGAAGGCUUGAAUCCGGGAGAGGGAUGUGGAAUUCCAGGUGUAGCGGUGAAAUGCGUAGAUAUCUGGAGGAACACCGGUGGCGAAGGCGGCAUCCUGGACCGGCAUUGACGCUGAGGAGCGAAAGCCAGGGGAGCAAACGGG
rnacentral:rRNA from 1 species